UACGUAGGGUGCAAGCGUUAAUCGGAAUUACUGGGCGUAAAGCGUGCGCAGGCGGUUGUGCAAGACAGAUGUGAAAUCCCCGGGCUUAACCUGGGAACUGCAUUUGUGACUGCACAGCUGGAGUGCGGCAGAGGGGGAUGGAAUUCCGGCGUGUAGCAGUGAAAUGCGUAGAUAUGCGGAGGAACACCGAUGGCGAAGGCAAUCCCCUGGGCCUGCACUGACGCUCAUGCACGAAAGCGUGGGGAGCAAACAG
rnacentral:rRNA from 1 species